ACGUAGGUGGCAAGCGUUGUCCGGAUUUAUUGGGUUUAAAGGGUGCGUAGGUGGCCCUGUAAGUCAGUGGUGAAAUAUCUCAGCUUAACUGAGAGGGUGCCAUUGAUACUGCAGGGCUUGAGUACAGAUGAGGUAGGCGGAAUUGACGGUGUAGCGGUGAAAUGCAUAGAUAUGUCACCGAACACCAAUUGCGAAGGCAGCUUACUAAA
rnacentral:rRNA from 1 species